rnacentral:rRNA from 1 species
UACGAAGGGGGCUAGCGUUGCUCGGAAUCACUGGGCGUAAAGGGUGCGUAGGCGGGUUUUUUAAGUCAGAGGUGAAAUCCUGGAGCUCAACUCCAGAACUGCCUUUGAUACUGAAAGUCUUGAGUAUGGGAGAGGUGAGUGGAACUGCGAGUGUAGAGGUGAAAUUCGUAGAUAUUCGCAAGAACACCAGUGGCGAAGGCGGCUCACUGGCCCAUUACUGACGCUGAGGCACGAAAGCGUGGGGAGCAAACAGG